rnacentral:siRNA from 1 species
UCCAUCCUCUUUCAGGUCGUCUCC